rnacentral:rRNA from 1 species
AUUGAACGCUGGCGGCAUGCUUUACACAUGCAAGUCGAACGGCAGCGCGGUCUUAGGCUUGGCGGCGGGUGGAGAACGGGCGGGGAGUACAUCGGUACGUGCGCAGUUGUGGGGGCUAGCGUGGUGAACGCGGGAUUACUACGGCAAUACCGCUGAGGGCGAAAGGGGGGGAUCAUGGGAACUCGGGCUCUUGGCGCGGUCGAUGUCGGAUUAGCUAGUUGGCGGGGUAGAGGCCCACCAAGGCGACGAUCCGUAGCUGGUCUGAGAGGAUGAUCAGCCACACUGGAACUGAGACACGGUCCAGACUCCUACGGGAGGCAGCAGUGGGGAAUAUUGGACAAUGGGCGCAAGCCUGAUCCAGCCAUACCGCGUGGGUGAAGAAGGCCUUCGGGUUGUAAAGCCCUUUUGUUGGGAAAGAAAAGCAGCAGGUUAAUACCCCGCUGUUCUGACGGUACCCAAAGAAUAAGCACCGGCUAACUUCGUG